ACAGCAGUCGCCGCGGUAAUACGUAGGUGGCAAGCGUUGUCAGGAAUUAUUGGGCGUAAAGGGCUCGCAGGCGGUUUCUUAAGUCUGAUGUGAAAGCCCCCGGCUCAACCGGGGAGGGUCAUUGGAAACUGGGAAACUUGAGUGCAGAAGAGGAGAGUGGAAUUCCACGUGUAGCGGUGAAAUGCGUAGAGAUGUGGAGGAACACCAGUGGCGAAGGCGACUCUCUGGUCUGUAACUGACGCUGAGGAGCGAAAGCGUGGGGAGCGAACAGGAUUAGAUACCCCGGUAGUCCCUGUCUCUUAUAC
rnacentral:rRNA from 1 species